CCGAUCGUGGGGGGAUAACGGAGCGAAAGCUUGGCUAAUACCGCAUACGAUCUACGGAUGAAAGCAGGGGACCCUCGGGCCUUGCGCGAACGGAGCGGCCGAUGGCAGAUUAGGUAGUUGGUGGGAUAAAAGCUUACCAAGCCGACGAUCUGUAGCUGGUCUGAGAGGACGACCAGCCACACUGGGACUGAGACACGGCCCAGACUCCUACGGGAGGCAGCAGUGGGGAAUUUUGGACAAUGGGCGAAAGCCUGAUCCAGCAAUGCCGCGUGCAGGAUGAAGGCCUUCGGGUUGUAAACUGCUUUUGUACGGAACGAAAAGUCCCGGGAUAAUACCCUGGGACCAUGACGGUACCGUAAGAAUAAGCACCGGCUAACUACGGGGCAGCAGCCGCGGUAAU
rnacentral:rRNA from 1 species